rnacentral:siRNA from 1 species
ACUCAUAAGAUUGUGCCACGUGU